rnacentral:rRNA from 1 species
AUCGAACGCUGGCGGCAGGCUUAACACAUGCAAGUCGAACGAGAGGCGGACGGGAGGGUAAUGUCUGGUCAACUGACUGAUGGAGGGGGUUAACUACUGGAAACUGUAGCUAAUACCGCAUAGCAGCGGAUGUGCCCAGAUGGGAUUAGCUAGUGGGGGGGGUAAAGGCACACCUAGGCGACGAACCCUAGCUGGUCUGAGAGGAGGACCAGACACACUGGAACUGAGACACGGUCCAGACUCCUACGGGAGGCAGCAGGGGGGAAUAUUGCACAAUGGGCGCAAGCCUGAUGCAGCCAUGCCGCGUGUAUGAAGAAGACCCUCGGGUUGUAUAGUACUUUCAGCGGGGAGGCGUUAACCGCAGAAGAAGCACCGGCUAACUCCGUGCCAGCAGCCGCGGUAAUUC